rnacentral:rRNA from 1 species
GAUGAACGCUGGCGGCGUGCCUAAUACAUGCAAGUCGAGCGAACAGACGAGGAGCUUGCUCCUCUGACGUUAGCGGCGGACGGGUGAGUAACACGUGGAUAACCUACCUAUAAGACUGGGAUAACUUCGGGAAACCGGAGCUAAUACCGGAUAAUAUAUUGAACCGCAUGGUUCAAUAGUGAAAGACGGUUUUGCUGUCACUUAUAGAUGGAUCCGCGCCGCAUUAGCUAGUUGGUAAGGUAACGGCUUACCAAGGCUACGAUGCGUAGACGACCUGAGGGGGGGAUCGCCAAACAAUGACCUGGGCGCGCACCCAACCCCCACCGGGGGGAAGGGGAGGGGAAUUUCCCGAAUUGGGCGAAAGCCUAGCGAGCCAACCCCGCGGGAUUGAUAAAGUUUUUCGGGUCGUAAAACUUUUUUUUUGGGAAAAAAAAAAUGUUAAAAUAACCUUGCCGUUUUUGGCGGUACCUAAUCAGAAGGCCACGGUAAACUACGU